AAAAAAAAAAAAAAAAAACAUUUAGAUCAUUCUAAUCAACAACCAGAAAAGGUAUUACAGCAGCGACAAAGGCCUAGAGAACAGAUAAAGAGGGUCGAAAAGCCAAAUCAACAACUAGAGCUACAAGACAUAUCAAGAGGAGGCAAAACAACAUGCACAAGAAUCACAAAAAUGCAAAUUUUUCAGCAAAAACUUCUGCCUGUUAUGGAAAGUCAAUCACUA
rnacentral:misc_RNA from 1 species